rnacentral:ncRNA from 31 species
CCUUUGCAUCAAGAGUGCCCGAAUAUAUCGGACCGGCAACCGAGCCCUGAGCAUGUUGAAAGGGAUGCGGUGCCAAGUCAUUUGAAGAUGCGCCCUAAAAUGAUUGAUGGGAAAAAUUUUAUUUUUA